rnacentral:rRNA from 1 species
UACGAAAGGUGCAAGCGUUACUCGGAAUCACUGGGCGUAAAGCGCGCGUAGGCGGUCUUGUAUGUCGAUUGUGAAAGCCCCGGGCUCAACCUGGGAACAGCAGUCGAAACUGCAUGACUUGAAUGUUGGAGAGGGUGGGGGAAUACCUAGUGGAGAAGUGAAAUUCGUAGAGAUUAGGUGGAACACCAGAGGCGAAGGCGGCCAUCUGGACGGAUACUGACGCUGAGACGCGAAAGCGUGGGUAGCAAACAGG